rnacentral:rRNA from 1 species
GAUGGAACGAAAAAAAAAAACGAUACGGGACUCAUCCGAGGCCCCGUAAUCGGAAUGAGUACACUUUAAAUCCUUUAACGAGUAUCCAUUGGAGGGCAAGUCUGGUGCCAGCAGCCGCGGUAAUUCCAGCUCCAAUAGCGUAUAUUAAAGUUGUUGCGGUUAAAAAGCUCGUAGUUGGACUUGUGUCCCACGCUGUCGGUUCACCGCUCGUCGGUGUCUAACUGGCAUGGUUCGUGGGACGUCCUGCCGGUGGUGGCGAGUCGAAAGCGCGCUCCUGUCGCAGUCCGCUGUGUACAGUUCUUGUGCGCCUAGACGGACCCCGAUCAAAUCCUACCGCGGUGCUCUUCGCCGAGUGUCGAGGUGGGCCGGCACGUUUACUUUGAACAAAUUAGAGUGCUUAAAGCAGGCCUUUUGCGCCUGAAUACUGUGUGCAUGGAAUAAUGGAAUAGGACCUCGGUUCUAUUUUGUUGGUUUUCGGAACCCGAGGUAAUGAUUAAUAGGGACAGGCGGGGGCAUUCGUAUUGCGACGUUAGAGGUGAAAUUCUUGGAUCGUCGCAAGACGGACCGAAGCGAAAGCAUUUGCCAAGUAUGUUUUCAUUAAUCAAGAACGAAAGUUAGAGGUUCGAAGGCGAUCAGAUACCGCCCUAGUUCUAACCAUAAACGAUGCCAGCUAGCGAUCCGCCGAAGUUCCUCCGAUGACUCGGCGGGCAGCUCCCGGGAAACCAAAGCUUUUGGGUUCCGGGGGAAGUAUGGUUGCAAAGCUGAAACUUAAAGGAAUUGACGGAAGGGCACCACCAGGAGUGGAGCCUGCGGCUUAAUUUGACUCAACACGGAGCUCCCG